CCCAGUCCCUCCUUCAGGAGGCGCGGAAUUCGUGCCCAGUUUGAGAAACCGGCAUGGCGGACGUUUCUUCUAAGUCCAGACUGAAACGAAAGAAGUCUUCUGUGGUAGAGCUACAGUCUGAUCAGUUAAAUCCGAAAGAUGAGAAAGCAACAUUAGCGCUGACAGUGAACUGUGCAGCCAUUACUGAAGGGCCAGUGGGCGGAGCCUCAGUGUGGUGGAACAGAGCACAGCCGCCUGCUGUGGAGAGCCUGUGGGCGUUUGCACUGAAGUCUGUCUUUCUUCCAUCCUCUACAAGCAAGCGCUUUGAUUGGCUGACGGAUCUCCCACUGCCAUCUGCAGUGGUGUUCACAGAUGGAGCGUGA
rnacentral:lncRNA from 1 species